rnacentral:lncRNA from 1 species
CAUCCUUUGAAUUCAUGACCUCCUCUUCUGCUACAUCUUCAUUGUCUACCUUAGGAUUUGAUGCUUCUCCAUCCAAACGUAUCGUUAGAUCUUCAUUCAACAAAUCCAAUUCCCGUACCUAAGAUUCAAGAUGGGCAAUUUGGUUGUCGCGUUCUUCCAACAUCUUCUGCCAUUCUUCUAUCGAUUUCAAAGGUAUCUCCGAAGGUGUUGUCACUGAAACUAACAUAUUGGUUCGUACUAAAUAAUUGACCUUCUUUAUUAAUAUGGCUAGUUUAGUCUGUAAUAUUGCAACCUCUACUUAUAGCCACUCUUGCUAUUCCUUCUAAUUGGUCUCCAUCUUUGCUUUCUCAGACACCAUGUUCGCCACCUUCUCCUUUUCAGCCAUUUACUUCUCUUUAUGCUUAACUUCCACCAGUGCAAUGUCAAUUAGUGGUAAGUUUUAUAAAAUGUGCAAAGAUCCAUACUUAUGUACUCCUCAAAAAUCUUGCUACUUCUCCUUAGUCCAACAAACAUCCAAUCGGAUCGGCUCUAUAUUAGUCAUAAUAAUACACUCCAAUGGUCACAACUCAUCCUUGCGUCUUACAUUAAGUUAUUUCUCCUCUCUAUUCAACUACCUCUUAGUCUUUUCAAUUGCCAUUGUAUUCUAACACAAGCAAGCACUCACAACUAAUCUCUCAAAAUACAUAUAUACAGCUGCUUACACAAAAGAAAACACGAUGCUUAUCAAGAGCCCCCCUCCUACUUCUUACUAUGGUCCAAUCAAUUGGAUCGACUUUCCCUUAUUUUCCACAAUUCAUCAUGA